UACGUAGGGGGCAAGCGUUGUCCGGAUUUAUUGGGCGUAAAGAGCGUGUAGGCGGUUGGGUAGGUCCGUUGUGAAAACUCGAGGCUCAACCUCGAGACGCCGAUGGAAACCCCCCAGCUAGAGUCCGGAAGAGGAGAGUGGAAUUCCUGGUGUAGCGGUGAAAUGCGCAGAUAUCGGGAAGAACACCCGUGGCGAAGGCGGCUCUCUGGGACGGUACUGACGCUGAGACGCGAAAGCGUGGGGAGCGAACAGG
rnacentral:rRNA from 1 species